rnacentral:rRNA from 1 species
UACGGAGGGUGCAAGCGUUAUCCGGAUUCACUGGGUUUAAAGGGUGCGUAGGAGGGCAGGUAAGUCAGUGGUGAAAUCUCCGGGCUUAACCCGGAAACUGCCGUUGAUACUAUUUGUCUUGAAUAUUGUGGAGGUAAGCGGAAUAUGUCAUGUAGCGGUGAAAUGCUUAGAUAUGACAUAGAACACCAAUUGCGAAGGCAGCUUACUACACAAUGAUUGACACUGAGGCACGAAAGCGUGGGGAUCAAACAGG